rnacentral:rRNA from 1 species
GCAACUCGCCUGCAUGAAGGCGGAAUUGCUAGUAAUCGCGAAUCAGAAUGUCGCGGUGAAUACGUUCCCGGGCCUUGUACACACCGCCCGUCACACCAUGAGAGUCGAUAACACCCGAAGCCUGUGAGCUAACCUUAGGGAGGCAGCAGUCGAAGGUGGGGUUGAUGAUUAGGGUGAAGUCGUAACAAGGUACC